rnacentral:rRNA from 1 species
AUUUAAUUUAAAAUAUCUAAUAAUAAUAAAUUAAAUUAAAAAAAAUUAUUAAAAUUUAAAAAGUUAUUAAAAUAAAAUGAAAUAAUAUUAUUUAAAAUAAAAAUUUUAUAAUCAAAUAAUUUAAAAUUAAAUUAAAUAUUUUUACCUUUUGUAUCAGGGAUAAUUAAAAUUUAACUAAAUCUUUAAAUCUCGAAAAAAAAAAAUUAAGUAUAAAAAUUUUUAUUAUAAAAAUAAUAUUUUUAAUUUAUACUUAGAAACAAUAUAUUAAACGAUUUUUUUGAUAUCUAGUUAUUUAAUAAAUUAAUUUAAUUAAGUUAUAAAUUAAAAAUAUUUUAAAAUAUUUUAUUAAUAUUUUUAUUUAUAAUAAAAAUUUAGGGGAUAAACUCUUAAUUUUUAAUUACAAUUAUAUAAUUAUUAAUUUAAUAACAUAAAUAUAAUAAUAAUUAAUGUUGAUAAAUAUAUAAUAAUUUAAUUAAAAAUAUUCAAUAUUUAUAAUAAUUUAAAAAUUUAUUAAAUUUUGUUAAUUAAUAUAUAAUUAAUAAAAUUAAUGAUUAUAUAAGUAAAUAAUAAUUUUUUAAAAUAUAAAUUUGUAAAAAAAAAUUUUAUUAAUGAAUUAAGCAAAUAAUUAUAUUCACCUGUUCAACAAAAACAUGUCUUAUUGAUAAUAAUUUUAAGUCUAAUCUGCCCAAUGAAAAUUAAAUGGCUGCAGUAUCAAUAACUGUACAAAGGUAGCAUAAUAGUUAGUUUUUUAAUUGAAAACUAGAAUGAAAGAUUAAAUGAAAUAUAAACUUUAUAAAUAAAACAAAAAUUUAAAUUAAAUUUUAAGUUAAAAUUCUUAAAUAUAAUUAAAAGACGAGAAGACCCUUUAGAAUUUAAUAUUAAAUAUAAUUAAACUUAUAAUAUUUUAAAUAUAAAUUAUAUUUAAUAUUUAAUUGGGGUAAUUUUAUAAUUUAAUAAACUUUUAAAUAAUUAUAACAUUAAUUAAUGAUUAUAUAAUCCUAAUUUUUAGUAUUUUAAAAUAAAUUACCUUAGGGAUAACAGCGUAAUUUUUUUUGAAAGUUCACAUUUAUAAAAAAGAUUGCGACCUCGAUGUUGAGUUAAGAUUGAAUUAAAAGCAAAAAUUUAAUAUUUUAAGUCUGUUCGACUUUUAAAAUCUUACAUGAUUUGAGUUAAGAUCGGUGUAAGCCAGAUCGGAUUCUAUCUUUAAAUAAACUUAACAUAAUUGUACGAAAGGAAUUUAUGAUAAAAAUAAUUUUUAUAUCUAUAAAUAUAAAAUAUAA